CUCAGACACAGGUCCAACUUCCUCAGUCCUUAACACAACAGAAGGAGUGUGGCUCUUUGUUUUCCUCUGUCUUUGGUGAGGUGUUGACUCAGUACCUUUCUUGGGGGCAUCUCUUCAUCCAAGAGCAGCUGCAAUUCACCUGUAAGGGCCUGGUUAUCUUUUCUGCUUCUCCCAUCUUGCCCAGGAGAUGGAAUUCUAGUGCUACAGAGCAGAUGGCUCGUGGUGCUCCCAAAAGGAGCCUUUGUGCCUUCAGGGGACACUGAGCUGGUCCAGCUGUGGCAAAAAGAGCAAGUGUCCUGUGAAGGUUUGGAGCAGUCUGGAGGGUUCCUCGUGCCCAAAGGAGCCUGGAAGUGCAGCCCUGGAGGCAUGAGGAAUAAUGACAAGUGUCCCAUUUCUUGUGAAGCUCAACUAUGUAAAACAUUUAGGGAGCUAAAAUUCCACAGCCUUGAGUUGUUGGGCCCCAAAUAAUAGUGGAGGGGGAGAGGCAGAGAAUGCCCCUGCUGCUGGGGCUGAACUGUGUGCAGUGAGGGGGCAGGACUUGGCCCUGAUGCCUGAGUGCUCUCCAGCCCCCAGGCUGGAUCCCAGCUGUCAGCCCCUGGCUCCAGCCCUUGAGAAGAUGGUGUUCCUGCCAGCCCAGCUGCUGGGCUGGUGGUCCUGGGGGCACCUCCUGCCCUGGCCUGCUGGGAAGGUGUUUGUGCUGCAGCUCAAUAAAGUCCCUUUCAGUGGUGA